GUGCUAAUACCGUAUAACAAUCAAAACCGCAUGGUUUUGAUUUGAAAGGCGCUUUCGGGUGUCGCUGAUGGAUGGACCCGCGGUGCAUUAGCUAGUUGGUGAGGUAACGGCUCACCAAGGCCACGAUGCAUAGCCGACCUGAGAGGGUGAUCGGCCACAUUGGGACUGAGACACGGCCCAAACUCCUACGGGAGGCAGCAGUAGGGAAUCUUCGGCAAUGGACGAAAGUCUGACCGAGCAACGCCGCGUGAGUGAAGAAGGUUUUCGGAUCGUAAAACUCUGUUGUUAGAGAAGAACAAGGAUGAGAGUAACUGUUCAUCCCUUGACGGUAUCUAACCAGAAAGCCACGGCUAACUACGUGCCAGCAGCCGCGGUAAUACGUAGGUGGCAAGCGUUGUCCGGAUUUAUUGGGCGUAAAGCGAGCGCAGGCGGUUUCUUAAGUCUGAUGUGAAAGCCCCCGGCUCAACCGGGGAGGGUCAUUGGAAACUGGGAGACUUGAGUGCAGAAGAGGAGAGUGGAAUUCCAUGUGUAGCGGUGAAAUGCGUAGAUAUAUGGAGGAACACCAGUGGCGAAGGCGGCUCUCUGGUCUGUAACUGACGCUGAGGCUCGAAAGCGUGGGGGAGCAAACAGGAUUAGAUACCCUGG
rnacentral:rRNA from 1 species